UACGAAGGGGGCUAGCGUUGUUCGGAUUUACUGGGCGUAAAGCGCACGUAGGCGGAUCGUUAAGUCGGGGGUGAAAUCCUGGAGCUCAACUCCAGAACUGCCUUCGAUACUGGCUGUCUUGAGUACGGGAGAGGUGUGUGGAACUCCGAGUGUAGAGGUGAAAUUCGCAGAUAUCAGGAGGAACACCCGUAGCGAAGGCGGCACUCUGGGCCGAUACUGACACUGAGGAGCGAAAGCGUGGGGAGCGAACAGG
rnacentral:rRNA from 1 species